GACAGAGGAUGCAAGCGUUAUCCGGAAUGAUUGGGCGUAAAGCGUCUGUAGGUGGCUUUUUAAGUCUGCCGUCAAAUCCCAGGGCUUAACCCUGGACAGGCGGUGGAAACUACCAAGCUGGAGUACGGUGGGGGCAGAGGGAAUUUCCGGUGGAGCGGUGAAGUGCGUAGAGAUCGGAAAGAACACCAACGGCGAAAGCACUCUGCUGGGCCGACACUGACACUGAGAGACGAAAGCUAGGGGAGCGAAUGGG
rnacentral:rRNA from 1 species